AAGAUGAACUGUAUGUCUUAGUGACAUAGUAUUACAACACCACUUGUAUAUAUGGAGUUUAUUAAGACACAGAUUCCUCUAAAAGAAGGUAUUGGGAAGGAGGAGAAGUAAUUUUUUUUAAGGGUAUAUUUACCUUUAAAUAUAUUUUUUCUGCAGUGAACUAAUACAGAGAGGCAGGAUGCCUUUGCUGUCCAUAUCCGGAUUGAACAACACCAUUUUCCAGAUUUCAACACAACAUUUCUCCUUUUGAUGUCCUCCCACUGGUCUUCGAGAGCCAUGUAGUAACUUGGAGUCCAGAAUGAACAACUGAAAGUGUCUGGAUACUUGGAAAGCUCUGAGAUCUACUCCCCAUUUAUUAUGUUGCUGCACACUUUUGGAGGUCACACGUGGACUGGAGCAUCAGCGUGGUCCUGCUGUCCUCGGUCCUGCUGUCCUCCAUGCACAGCCUCAGCUCCGUGAUGCUGCAGAACAAAUGACAGAAUGGGAGAUUUUUGUGUGAUUAAAUCUACAGGGUGUGGCAAGAAGGGACAGAACCAAAGAGAAAAAGAGAAACCUUAGAAAACGAACUGCCCGCUAUGAAUGUCAACAACAGUGGGAGUAAAUAACCUCUCCAUUA